rnacentral:rRNA from 1 species
UACGGGGGGGGUAAGCGUUGUUCGGAAUUACUGGGCGUGAAGGGCUCGUAGGCGGCCAACUAAGUCAGACGUGAAAUCCCCAGGCUUAACCUGGGAACUGCGUGUGAUACUGGAUGGCUUGAAUCCGGGAGAGGGAUGCGGAAUUCCAGGUGUAGCGGUGAAAUGCGUAGAUAUCUGGAGGAACACCGGUGGCGAAGGCGGCAUCCUGGACCGGUAUUGACACUGAAAAGCGAAAGCCAGGGGAGCAAACGGG